rnacentral:rRNA from 1 species
UACGUAGGGUGCAAGCGUUGUCCGGAAUUAUUGGGCGUAAAGAGCUCGUAGGCGGUUUGUCGCGUCUGCUGUGAAAACUCGGGGCUUAACUCCGGGCCUGCAGUGGGUACGGGCAGACUAGAGUGCGGUAGGGGAGACUGGAAUUCCUGGUGUAGCGGUGAAAUGCGCAGAUAUCAGGAGGAACACCGGUGGCGAAGGCGGGUCUCUGGGCGGUAACUGACGCUGAGGAGCGAAAGCGUGGGGAGCGAACAGG